rnacentral:rRNA from 1 species
UACAGAGGGUGCGAGCGUUGUCCGGAAUCACUGGGCGUAAAGGGCGCGUAGGUGGCGACCCAAGUCGAUGGUGAAAGCUCGCCGCUCAACGGCGAGUCGGCCACCGAUACUGGGUUGCUGGAGCACUGUAGAGGCAGAUGGAAUUCCGGGGUGUAGCGGUGGAAUGCGUAGAGAUCCGGAGGAAGACCGGUGGCGAAGGCGGUCUGCUGGGCAGUUUUCUGACACUGAUGCGCGACAGCGUGGGGGAG